rnacentral:misc_RNA from 1 species
GCCACCUGCCUCUGAUUGUAACCCAUGGCGCUUUUGAUCACAGGUGAUAUACUCCCAAAAAGGUAGCCAAUCCCUGCACAUGACUGCACCCACAUUGCACAGACAAACACCAGCCAUCUGUUGCUCACAAAGGCCUUGAAUCUCCCAUGCAAAAGCUUCAUCCGCUCUGGCUCUGGCAGAAACAAUGAGUGAUGAGAGAGGAUUAUGAAUUAGGACUGGAAGGAGACGUGGGAUCUUG